rnacentral:misc_RNA from 1 species
CCUAGAGUUGUAGGCUUUGCCUGCUAUCUCUUACCCAUGUCUUUUGAGUACCUUACGUUUCCUCGGUGGGUUCGCCCACCGAUUGGACAAACUUAAACCCUUUGCAGUUGAAAUCAGCGUCCUGAAAAAACUUAAUAGUUA